GACGAACGCUGGCGGCGCGCCUAACACAUGCAAGUCGAACGAGCGAGAGAGAGCUUGCUUUCUCGAGCGAGUGGCGAACGGGUGAGUAACGCGUGAGGAACCUGCCUCAAAGAGGGGGACAACAGUUGGAAACGACUGCUAAUACCGCAUAAGCCCACGGUGCCGCAUGGCACAGAGGGAAAAGGAGCAAUCCGCUUUGAGAUGGCCUCGCGUCCGAUUAGCUAGUUGGUGAGGUAAUGGCCCACCAAGGCGACGAUCGGUAGCCGGACUGAGAGGUUGAACGGCCACAUUGGGACUGAGACACGGCCCAGAAUCCUACGGGAGGCAGCAGUGGGGAAUAUUGCAAAAUGGGGGAAACCCUGAUGCAGCGACGCCGCGUGGAGGAAGAAGGUCUUCGGAUUGUAAACUCCUGUUGUUGGGGAAGAUAAUGACGGUACCCAACAAGGAAGUGACGGCUAACUACGUG
rnacentral:rRNA from 1 species